rnacentral:rRNA from 1 species
GAUCAAGCGCAUAAGGGCUUCUGAUGGAUGCCUUGGCGUCGAGAGGCGAUGAAAGACGUGGCACGCUGCGAUAAGGUCCGGGGAGGCGCGAGCACCCUUUGAUCCGGACAUUUCUGAAUGGGGAAACCCACCUUUACAAUCUGCGAAUUUGAUUUCCGGCUUCGGCCGGAACUCAGGUUCGUUGGUUGUUCAAAGGUAUAAUGACCUGAAUAAAAUAGGGUUCAUUAAGCAAACCCGGGGAACUGAAACAUCUCAGUACCCGGAGGAAAGGACAUCAACCGAGACUCCCGUAGUAGUGGCGAGCGAACCGGGACCAGGCCAGCGCCGUCGUGACAUAAAGCCGAAUGACUUGGAAAGGUCAGCCAUAGCGGGUGAUAGCCCCGUAGGCGUCAAUUAGCGACGGACUCGAGUAGGGCGGGACACGUGAAAUCCUGUCUGAACAUGGGGGGACCACCCUCCAAGCC